rnacentral:rRNA from 1 species
AACUUUGGACAAUGGGGGAAACCCUGAUCCAGCCAUCCCGCGGGCAUGAUGAAGGCCUUCGGGUUGAAAAGUACUUUUGGCAGAGAAGAAAAGGUACCUCAUAAUACGAGGUACUGCUGACGGUAUCUGCAGAAUAAGUACCUGCUAACUACGUGCCAGCAGCUGCGGUAAUACGUAAGGUGCAAGCGUUAAUCGGCAUUACUGGGCGUAAAGCGUGUGUAGGCGGUUCGGAAAGAAAGAUGUGAAAUCCCAGGGCUCAACCUUGGAACUGCAUUUUUAACUGCCGAGCUAGAGUAUGUCAGAGGGGGGUAGAAGUCCACGUGUAGCAGUGAAAUGCGUAGAUAUGUGGAGGAAUACCGAUGGCGAAGGCAGCCCCCUGGGAUAAUACUGACGCUCAGACACGAAAGCGUGGGGAGCAAACAG